UUGGAUUUUUUUUGGUGAUGCAUUGCUAAUUUUCAACUUUUCUCUUUAAAGUUUUCAUGCAAUAACCACUGGGGCAGAAACCAUGACGUUGCCUUGGACUUCAAACUAAACCAUCUCAUUCUGGCUUUUUUCUAACCUCGAAAUCUCAGAAGGACAGGUCUAAGAUGGACGCAGCCUCCAUAGGAUGCAACCUUGCAUUUGAGAAACACCCAUAGAACGGUCAACUUACCCCAUACUCUAACCUGAAUGCAGGGAUCAUAAAACUUUAUCUUUUACCUUAAUUGUUAGAUGGGUGUUGAUACCAAAUUUUUUUUUCUCGUCUACCCAGGAGAAAGUCAUGGGUUCUGCUGCUGAGGUUGUCAUAAAGCAUGCUUUUUUCCAUUUGUUGCAUUUGGCAAUAUUAUCAAAAGAUUCUGAAAGAAAUAAGAUAAUUUUCAAAGCAUUAACAUGAAUAUGAAAGUCAUUAAUGACCAUCUUUUAUUAUUGUUUAUUUACAGUGUCUUUUAUUCUGCUUACCUGACUCAUGCAGAAUUCUGGCUUAAUGUUUGGUCCACCUGUUAGCUGGCUCUGGUGCUUGGUAGUCUUCUCAAACCUCUGAAUCAAGGCCACCAUGAGAGGCAUUCUGAAGACCAUCAUUACGCUGCAGAUCCAGUGGUCUUUACUAUGAGAUAGAACUGAACUGGAGUCUGUGAACUAAUGCUGUGUUCGAGACAACUUGGAUGUUGGAUAUUAUUGACCUCAAACCCGUAAGAAGUCUGGAACAGCAAACAAAGUUGAGUAUCCGACCUCUCAACUUGGGACAGAUCGAUCAACACCGACCUCAACGAGAUGCAUCAUUUGACAUUGCAGACAAGAUCCUUUCUCUUUUUUUAUGCAGCUCUUAAGGAUGAACCACCCUGAUCUACUAAGAUGCACAGAUUCAACUCUGGCCCAGCAUCAUCCCCACACCUCAUCUGCCAUCAGUUUAAUUUAAUGUCUGUCAAUUGCAAAUGCUAUUUAUUUCAGUUAUAUUACAACUUAAUAUUAACUUUAAUUGAGACUAGUAUUGUGUAAAGCUGGGGUUUCCAAACUUUUCAUUUUAAAACCUAUUAGACAAGUGUAAUCUAUUCUAG